rnacentral:tRNA from 1 species
GGUGAUGUAGCCAAGUGGUUAGGCACCGGUCUGCAAAACCGUUGACGCCGGUUCGAUUCCGGCCAUCACCUCCA